AUUUUAGCGAAGCAAUGGCAAGUUCCGAAAACGGCGUCCAGUUGGGAACCCAAGAAACAGGCGGACCCUUCCCGUCUGAGGAAGAGAAUGGUUGUCGUUGCCGUGGUGACGGUCUGUUUCUGUUCGUGGCGGCUGUGGUGACGUGGGUCGUUGUCGUGAUAUAUGUCAAGAAAACUGGUACUGAACUUUACCAUG